rnacentral:rRNA from 1 species
UGCAGUCNAGCGGUAACAGACAUUUUGAUUUUGCUUGCAAAAUCUCGUGCUGACGAGCGGCGGACGGGUGAGUAACGCGUAGGAAUCUACCUAGUAGAAGGGGAUAGCCCGAGGAAACUCGGAUUAAUACCGUAUACGUCCUUAGGGAGAAAGAGGGSUGAGCUUGAUGCUCUCGCUAUUAGAUGAGCCUGCGUAAGAUUAGCUUGUUGGUGAGGUAAAGGCUCACCAAGGCUUACGAUCUUUAGCUGGUCUGAGAGGACGAUCAGCCCACAUUGGGACUGAGACACGGCCCCAGACUCCUACGGGAGGCAGCAGUGGGGAAUAUUGGACAAUGGGCGCAAGCCUGAUCCAGCCAUACCGCGUGUGUGAAGAAGGCUUUCGGGUUGUAAAGCACUUUAAGUGAGGAAGAAAAGAUAAUAGUUAAUACCUGUUAUCCGUGACAUUACUCACAGAAUAAGGACCGGCUAAUUCCGUGCCAGCAGCCGCGGUAAUACGGAAGGUCCAAGCGUUAAUCGGAAUUACUGGGCGUAAAGCGCGCGUAGGUGGUUUAUCAAGUUGGUUGUGAAAGCCCCGGGCUUAACCUGGGAACUGCAGCCAAAACUGAUUCACUAGAGUACGAAAGAGGAAAGUAGAAUUCACAGUGUAGCGGUGGAAUGCGUAGAUAUUGUGAAGAAUACCAAUUGCGAAGGCAGCUUUCUGGUUCUGUACUGACACUAAGGUGCGAAAGCGUGGGGAGCGAACAGGAUUAGAUACCCUGGUAGUCCACGCCGUAAACGAUGACAACCAGCUGUUGGGAAGCAAUGCUUUUCAGUGGCGCAGCUNACGUCUUAAGUUGUCCGCCUGGGGAGUACGGCCGCAAGGCUAAAACUC